ACGGAGGAUGCAAGCGUUAUCCGGAAUUAUUGGGUUUAAAGAGCGCGUAGGUUGUUGAUCACGUCAGCUGUGAAAUCCUAUGGCUUAACCCUGGGCUUGCAAUCGAUACUGGCUGACUUGAGUAUUACAGAGGAGACUGGAAUGUCUGGUGUAGCGGUGGAAUGCAUAGAUAUCACGCAGAACACCGAUGGCGAAGGCAGGUCUCUGGGUAGUAACUGACGCUGAGGCGCGAAAGCAUGGGUAGCAAACAG
rnacentral:rRNA from 1 species